AUGUCAUCACUCUCUUUUUCCAUAUCGGAUCAACACACAUCCGCGGCGACGAUUAGAUCGUCAUGUAGAUCUGCCGGAUGUCAUCACUCUUUUUCCAUAUCGGAUCAACACACAUCCGCGGCCACGAUUAGAUCGCCACGUAGAGCCGCGGGAUGCAAUAGCUUUCUUUUUUCACAUCGGAUCAACUCACAUCCGCAGCGACGAUUGGAUCGCCAUCCUGAGCUGCGGAAUGUCAUAAUUUCCUUUUUCACAUCGAUCAACACGCAUCCGCGGCGAAGAUUGGAGCGCCAUGUAGAGCCGCGAGAUGGCACAAAUUCUUUCUGUAGAUCUGAUGGUGAAACAUCCACAGCGAUGAUUCAAUCGCCAUGUUGA
rnacentral:rRNA from 1 species